rnacentral:rRNA from 1 species
UACGUAGGUGGCAAGCGUUUGUCCGGAUUUAUUGGGUUUAAAGGGUGCGUAGGCGGCCCUGUAAGUCAGUGCUGAAAAUACCCCGGCUUAACCGGGGGGGGUGGCAUUGAUACUGCAGGGCUUGAGUACAGAUGAGGUAGGCGGAAUUGACGGUGUAGCGGUGAAAUGCAUAGAUAUCGUCAAGAACACCUAUAGCGAAGGCAGCUUACUGGGCUGUAACUGACGCUGAGGCACGAAAGUGUGGGGAGUCAAACAGGG